rnacentral:lncRNA from 1 species
AUGACUGGGGCAAGCAGAGACGUGCCCAUGAGUCAGGACUGCAGAAGAGCACUUUUUGCAUGGAAAGGAUAUCAAAAAUGAAGUACUCAAAGAGAACUGCAUCAUGAAGGAGAAACUUGGAUUUGUGAUUCAGGCAAGUCCAGGUUCAAAUCCUGGCUCUGCAAUUUACCAGCUGCAGAAACUUGGAUAUUUAGAACAGAUGAAGAUGAUCCCAAAUAAGGAUAUUUGGUGUCCCUGAAGUAGAGAACUCAAAACUAUGGAAUAGAAAGAGGAAGGACCUUCAAGCAUCUCAAAACAGAAAGUAUCAAAGAACUGAAACUCAUCAGAUCACCACAUCCAGACAGUGAGGCUGGACCACUAAUUCAUCAUGAUUGAUUCCAUGCUCCUCCCUAGUUCCUAGUUUCUGUUUUCUUGCAUAUUGUUACAUUUCUUCCCUGCUAUAUACACCUCUAGUUUUAGUAGUUCAGGGAGAUGGAUUUGAGACUGAACUCCCAUCUCUUUGGCUGUAGCACCCUAU